rnacentral:rRNA from 1 species
UACAGAGGGUGCAAGCGUUAUUCGGAAUCAUUGGGCGUAAAGAGCGCGUAGGCGGUUUGAUAAGUCUGUUGUGAAAGCCCUGAACUCAAUUCAGGAAGUGCAGCAGAUACUGUUAGACUAGAGUAUGGGAGAGGAAAGUGGAAUUUCUGGUGUAGAGGUGAAAUUCGUAGAUAUCAGAAGGAACAACAGAGGCGAAGGCGACUUUCUGGACCAUUACUGACGCUGAGGCGCGAAAGCGUGGGGAGCAAACAGG